rnacentral:misc_RNA from 1 species
CCGAUCAAAACCCCCAAACCCUCCCCCUUCGAUCCCAAUCCCCCAAACCCUAACCCUAAUCCUGUAGAGAUGGACGGCGCCGGCGGUGGCUACACUCCCCGCACACCGGAGGAGGUCUUCCAGGACUUCCGAGGCCGGCGCGCCGCCAUCGUCAAGGCUCUCACCGAAGAGGUUGCUAAAUUCUUCGAGCUGUGCGAUCCGGAGAAGGAUAACCUGUGCUUGUAUGCUAACCCGAACGAAACUUGGG